AAGUUUUUUUUUACUUGCUGCAUGGCUAUGUGCCACAGCAAUACCUGUACUUGGUUGUGGUCGAGAUGGUCGACUCUUCAAUGGCGAAGGUGUGAUCUUCGACAACAAUUAUUUAACAAACCUUCGAAAUGCCUGGCGAUCUAGGACAGUGGUAUUCCAUGAACACAAUCGUAAAGAGAGGAACAACAGACAUAGUGACAUUAUUGCUGCGAAUAUUUAGCUGGCAUUUUGCAUAAUGAUGAGUUAUCGUGUAGGCCUAGUGAUCAGAUAACUUAAUGUCAAGCUUGAUAACUCUGAAACAAAUAUCAACUGUGAAAAUAUUGUCUCCCUUGUGUGUUUUUUUUUAAAUUCAUUUGCUUGUGUAGGACUAUAAACUAAUUAUAAACUAAUUAUG